CAUUCCGAGUAGCGGGAUCCCGCGCAGCCUCAGGGCUGCUGGCAGUGAAAGUGGGGGGAUGGAGGAGGUGUCCAGAGGAAAGACCUGGAGAUCUGGAGAUACAGGACGGUCAGGGUGGUCAGAGAAUUUGGAUCUUUUGCUUGUUGGAAAUCGGGACCGCUCCGAGAAACGUAAGCAGCUCGAUGUUGUUAGUGCCAGUGGAGACACUUGGCACUCACAAUUUGCAGACGUUUGGGAAAGCAUCGUUUCUCAAGAGGACCCCGUUCCCGUGUCUGUAAAUCAGAGAUGGUACCCACUUCGUAGUUCGCUGUGAAGCCUGUGAGCGAGGAGGGGCUUUAAAAUACAGAACUUUGCACUGGAGCGCUCCCCGUCCUCGCAGCCUGCUUGGUGUGCAGGUGGUUCCCAGGCGGCUUCUGCUUCCGAAAAGCAGAUCGUCCCUUUAUCUCGAGUCUUCUCCCCGCCUCUCCCUCUUCUCCCUACCCUAUUUGUCUUCUUGGGAACAAAUGGCACAUUCAUCAGAGUGGAGAUCCAUAAACGGGACUGGCGAGCCGAAGAUUUAAUUCUGAAGAAUAGGAUCUGCUCUGUGCUUUCAGGUUAAAAAGCUGUAAAUAUCUUUGUAAUUCUAGCAGUACUUUGCCCUCUUCUGCCAUCUGAACGCGUGCUCCCUGCUGACCUCAUCGGCUCCCAUAAAGAUACGCCGGGCGUGAUAGUGCACGCCUACAAAUCCCAGCUACUCGGGAGGCUGCGGCAGAAGAAUCUCUGGAACCUGGGAAGCAGAGGUUGCAGUGAACUGAGAUCACACCACUGCACUCCAGCCUGGACCACAGAGCAAAACUCUGUCUUAAAAAUUAUAUUUUUAAUAAAAAUAAAUAAUAAAUG
rnacentral:lncRNA from 10 species